AUGGACCAGGACGAGAACCGAGACCUCCACGGUGAUGAUGAAGCCUGCACAUGGUCGAGCUCGAUGGAACAACAGUGCCUCAGUGUGGUGCAGCCGAGUUGGGCCACAACAGUAGUAACUUACCCAACUAGCAGCCCUGCAGCUCGCUGGAUCUCGCCCAAACCCCGCUCACCUUGCUGCUUGUGGCAGGGAAUACUUUUGUUGAGUAUUUUGAGGAAUGAAGAUCUGAUAAGAUUUUCACUUCCCGCCAUCCCAGCCUUCUAUCAUGCUUACAAGAUUUUUCUUUGCACGGCAGUAGCACCAGUACCUUGCUGCUAUUGGGAACAAAAGGGAGCUGUUCCAUGCACUGAAUCUGGGGAGAAAAUCACCUUCGACAUGUACACCAUCACCUUGGGCAUGCUUGUGGCACUACUGCUCAGCCUCAACAUGUCCUGGAGUGCCAUUAGCGCCGCCCUCACGCUCAUCUUUCUCGACUUCAAGGACGCUCGCCCCUGCCUCGAGAAGCUGUGGGUUAAUGUUGGUGGUUUUGUUCUACUUGGAUGCAUUGGUACCCCCAUAAUCGAGCGCAUGGAUGCAAUGGCAAGAAGAUCAUAUGGCUGUGCGCAUCAUCAAGCACACCACGGAGAUAAUCGACCUCCUCACCGAUGCAGUAGGAAUAAUGCAUCUAGAUUCGAGAUAGGUGGCUCUAGCUCUCGUGCUGCUCAGAAGCCUCGGAACACCAAGAAGAGGGCCCGUAGGGGCAAACUGUCGGAUUACAAUGAGGAUGCUCAUGAGGUGGUCCUCCCUACCAAAGCCACUCUUCGGGAGAAGUCUGCUGCUGCCAAGCAAUGUGCUGCGUUGCCAAUGCACAAGUGGAAGAUGCCGGACUGGCAAAAGGCUCGUUUUUAG
rnacentral:rRNA from 1 species